AUAGCGUAUAUUAAAGUUGUUGCAGUUAAAAAGCUCGUAGUUGAACCUUGGGUCUGGCUGGUCGGUCCGCCUCACCGCGUGUACUGGUCCGGCCGGACCUUUCCUUCUGGGGAGUCGCAUGCCCUUCACUGGGUGUGUCGAGGAUCCAGGACUUUUACUUUGAAAAAAUUAGAGUGUUCAAAGCAGGCCUAUGCUCGAAUACAUUAGCAUGGAAUAAUAGAAUAGGACGUGUGGUUCUAUUUUGUUGGUUUCUAGGACCACCGUAAUGAUUAAUAGGGAUAGUCGGGGGCAUCAGUAUUCAAUUGUCAGAGGUGAAAUUCUUGGAUUUAUUGAAGACUAACUACUG
rnacentral:rRNA from 1 species